rnacentral:rRNA from 1 species
AUGAAUGUACAAGUAGGUAAUGACCUGCAUGCCUUGCCGGAGAGGAAGUCGAUGGGCUUGCCGGAGAGGAGGUCGGCGCCCUCACCGACGCCACAGCAAGGAGCAGCAGCAAUGAGACUGCCAUGGAGGACUUGCUCGCGCUCGCCCGCCGGCGCGGCCUCCUCUAGCCACCCACCAGGCAGGAGCCACCCAGCAGCCAGGAGCAGCAAUGAGGAUGGCUGCCGCCAGGUCCGUCAGUCAGGUACACAAGACAAGAAUGAACACCUGCUCUGCUGGUGCUUGGCCAUGGCAUUCAGUCAUGCCUAG